UGGCGAACGGGUGAGUAACACGUGGGUAACCUGCCCAUCAGAAGGGGAUAACACUUGGAAACAGGUGCUAAUACCGUAUAACACUAUUUUCCGCAUGGAAGAAAGUUGAAAGGCGCUUUUGCGUCACUGAUGGAUGGACCCGCGGUGCAUUAGCUAGUUGGUGAGGUAACGGCUCACCAAGGCAACGAUGCAUAGCCGACCUGAGAGGGUGAUCGGCCACACUGGGACUGAGACACGGCCCAGACUCCUACGGGAGGCAGCAGUAGGGAAUCUUCGGCAAUGGACGAAAGUCUGACCGAGCAACGCCGCGUGAGUGAAGAAGGUUUUCGGAUCGUAAAAACUCUGUUGUU
rnacentral:rRNA from 1 species